rnacentral:rRNA from 1 species
AGAGUUUGAUCCUGGCUCAGAACGAACGCUGGCGGCAGGCCUAACACAUGCAAGUCGAGCGAGACCUUCGGGUCUAGCGGCGGACGGGUUAGUAACGCGUGGGAAUAUACCCUUCACUACGGAAUAGCCUCGGGAAACUGGGAGUAAUACCGUAUACGCCCUUUUGGGGAAAGAUUUAUCGGUGAAGGAUUAGCCCGCGUCUGAUUAGAUAGUUGGUGGGGUAAUGGCCUACCAAGUCUACGAUCAGUAGCUGGUUUGAGAGGAUGAUCAGCAACACUGGGACUGAGACACGGCCCAGACUCCUACGGGAGGCAGCAGUGGGGAAUCUUAGACAAUGGGCGCAAGCCUGAUCUAGCCAUGCCGCGUGAGUGACGAAGGCCUUAGGGUCGUAAAGCUCUUUCGCCAGAGAUGAUAAUGACAGUAUCUGGUAAAGAAACCCCGGCUAACUCCGUGCCAGCAGCCGCGGUAAUACGGAGGGGGUUAGCGUUGUUCGGAAUUACUGGGCGUAAAGCGCACGUAGGCGGAUUGGAAAGUAUGGGGUGAAAUCCCAGGGCUCAACCCUGGAACGGCCUUGUAAACUCCCAGUCUAGAGUUCGAGAGAGGUGAGUGGAAUUCCAAGUGUAGAGGUGAAAUUCGUAGAUAUUUGGAGGA